UACGUAGGGGGCAAGCGUUGUCCGGAUUUAUUGGGCGUAAAGAGCGUGUAGGCGGUCAGGUAGGUCCGUUGUGAAAACUCGAGGCUCAACCUCGAGACGUCGAUCGAAACCAUCUGGCUAGAGUCCGGAAGAGGAGAAUGGAAUUCCUGGUGUAGCGGUGAAAUGCGCAGAUAUCAGGAAGAACACCGAUGGCGAAGGCAGUUCUCUGGGACGGUGACUGACGCUGAGACGCGAAAGCGUGGGGAGCGAACAGG
rnacentral:rRNA from 1 species